CUCUAUUUUUCCAUUUCUGGAGAUACGAAUUUAGUUGAUCGAUUAGCGGAACACAGUCUGCACCUUUGACGUCCCUUCCAAUUAGAGGCACCCCUAGAUACUUAAGCGGUAAAAAGCUUUCCUGGAACCCCAUCAACUGCAAUAGGUCAUCCUUGAUCUGCUCACAUGAGAUGGAGAAUAUCAUCGAACUCUUGGAACAAUUAAUUUCCAGUCCUGAAUUUUUUGUAAAAACAUCCAGCACUGCUUUAACUGCCCUCAGAGAUUUAGUAGUUGCCUUUGCAAAACAUAGCACAUCG
rnacentral:lncRNA from 1 species